rnacentral:rRNA from 1 species
UACAGAGGUCUCAAGCGUUGUUCGGAUUCAUUGGGCGUAAAGGGUGCGUAGGCGGCGCGGUAAGUCGGGUGUGAAAUCUCGAGCGCUUAACUCCGAAACUGCAUUCGAUACUGCCGUGCUUGAGGACUGGAGAGGAGACUGGAAUUUACGGUGUAGCGGUGAAAUGCGUAGAUAUCGUAAGGAAGACCAGUGGCGAAGGCGGGUCUCUGGACAGUUCCUGACGCUGAGGCACGAAGGCCAGGGGAGCAAAACGGG